rnacentral:rRNA from 1 species
AGAGUUUGAUCCUGGCUCAGGAUGAACGCUAGCGGCAGGCCUAACACAUGCAAGUCGAGGGGCAGCAUAUCGCUUCGGUGAUGAUGGCGACCGGCGCACGGGUGAGUAUCGCGUUUGUAACCUACCCUUAACUGGGGGAUAGCCCGGAGAAAUCCGGAUUAAUACCCCAUAGUAUUUAAGCACGGCAUCGUGCUUUCAUUAAAGCUCCGGCGGUUAAGGAUGGGCAUGCGUGACAUUAGUUUGUUGGUGAGGUAACAGCUCACCAAGACUACGAUGUCUAUGGGGUCUGAGAGGAUGAUCCCACACACUGGUACUGAGACACGGACCAGACUCCUACGGGAGGCAGCAGUGAGGAAUAUUGGUCAAUGGACGAAAGUCUGAACCAGCCAUGCCGCGUGCAGGAUGACGGCCCUAUGGGUUGUAAACUGCUUUUAUACAGGAAGAAAUCCCUCUACGUGUAGAGGGUUGACUGUACUGUACGAAUAAGCAUCGGCUAACUCCGUGCCAGCAGCCGCGGUAAUACGGAGGAUGCAAGCGUUAUCCGGAUUCAUUGGGUUUAAAGGGUGCGCAGGCGGGGCAAUAAGUCAGUGGUGAAAUCCUGCGGCUUAACCGUAGAACUGCCAUUGAUACUGUUGCCCUUGAGUAUAGUUGAGGUGGGCGGAAUAUGUAAUGUAGCGGUGAAAUGCAUAGAUAUUACAUAGAACACCAAUUGCGAAGGCAGCUCACUAAGCUAUCACUGACGCUGAGGCACGAAAGCGUGGGGAGCGAACAGGAUUAGAUACCCUGGUAGUCCACGCCGUAAACGAUGAUUACUCGUUGUUGGCGAUAUUGUCAGCGACUGAGCGAAAGCAUUAAGUAAUCCACCUAGGGAGUACGUUCGCAAGAAUGAAACUCAAAGGAAUUGACGGGGGCCCGCACAAGCGGAGGAACAUGUGGUUUAAUUCGAUGAUACGCGAGGAACCUUACCUGGGCUUAAAUGUAGAGUGAUUUACUGGGAAACUAGUAUUCCUUCGGGCACUUUACAAGGUGCUCCAUGGUUGCUGUCGUCAGCUCGUGCCGUGAGGUGUCGGGUUAAGUCCCAUAACGAGCGCAACCCCUAUUGUUAGUUGCCAGCGGAUAAUGCCGGGGACUCUAACGAAACUGCCGGUGUAAAGCCGGAGGAAGGCGGGGAUGACGUCAAGUCCUCAUGGCCCUUAUGGGCUGGGCUACACACGUGCUACAAUGGUUGGUACAAAGCGCUGCGAAGCCGCGAGGUGGAGCGAAUCGCAAAAAGCCAGCCUCAGUACGGAUUGCACUCUGCAACUCGAGUGCAUGAAGUCGGAAUUGCUAGUAAUCGCUGAUCAGCAGGCAGCGGUGAAUACGUUCCCGGGCCUUGUACACACCGCCCGUCACACCAUGGGAGUCGAGUGCUCCAGAAGUGGCCACGCUAACCCGCAAGGGAGGCAGGUCCCCAAGGAGUGUUUGGUAACUGGGGUGAAGUCGUAACAAGGUAACC